rnacentral:lncRNA from 1 species
AAAUUUUGAGUUUGCAGUUGAGAAAAGUUACCCAAAUCAUGAAAGGUACUGACUGUAACAUGUUCCUUUGCAGGUUCAAAUCUUCCUUGAUGUGGACUCUGAUUUCAGCCAGACAUAAAUUCUUGAUCAUAGGCUUGAUGCAGUGGCCUCUCUGUAUUGCUUUCUUCCCAUGAUAGAGCAGAUACAGGGCUCUAAGUACCAAAAACUCAGGAGCCCCAUCGGUGUCCUAACCAAUUAUGGUGGCAAAUAUUUUUGAUUUUAUAUAUUUAAGAGAGAGAGAGAAAACACGCAGAAGUGGUGGGAGGGGCAGAGGGAGAAGGACAAGCAGACGCCCCGCUGAGAAGGGAGCCCCAUGUGGGGCCCAAUCCCAGGACCCCGAGAUCCAGACGCGAGCUGAGAUCAGAUGCUUCAACGAGUGAACCAUCCAGGCACUCUAAAGACUUAAUUUUCUAAGUUGUAUGUAUAAAAUGAAAAUAAUAAUAGUGCUAAUCUAAUGGGACUGCCAUGGAGACUAAAUGAGACAAAGUGCUUUGUACGUGUGCAGGCAGCUCUCAGUAAAGGCCGGCUGUUCUUCUGAGUCUACCUUACUUCCUCUGAGCUCUUUGGAUCUGGAAGUGGAACUACGAGUAGGUUGACGGAUGUAGAGAUUGCUCCUGGAAAAGGACAGGUGCUCCAUUAAGUAAGGGUUCUUCGAGAAAGCAGGAAGAGGAAAAGAAUAAACCAUCAGGAUGGGUGCCGUUGUUUGAACGUGUACAUACGUGGGAUCUUGAGUCUGUAUCUGCACCUUUGGAAGCAAAAUGCUUAAGCUUGGUGAAAAUUUUGUGGCAUCAAAGGGCUGAAAAGUAGGAUGAAACAGAAAUUUCGAACUUCUUACUAAUUUAGCUCCUCUAAAACUUUUUUUGGUCCAUUUUUUCCAUUUAAGAUCUCACUAAAGCAAUGAACCCGGUCUACAAAAGAUGCUUAUGUAUGUAUAUACCUAAAACUUGCAUAAACUUUCAGGGUAUUCAUGAACUGAGGCACCAAAGACCGCAGAAGUCUAUGUUAAAUAAGUGCUGCAUUAAGCAUGAAAGAUUAUUUAUGUAGCUCCC